UCCCUGGUGGCCUAGUGGUUAAUAAUUCAGUGUUGUCACUACUGCGGCUCAGGUUCAAUUCCUGGCCUGGGAA
rnacentral:tRNA from 1 species